rnacentral:tRNA from 1 species
GGGUGAUUGACUUAACGGUAGAGUACUAUGCAGGUAUACAUGUAUAGGAGUGGAGGUUCGAUCCCUUCGUCACCCA